AUUGAACGCUGGCGGCAGGCCUAACACAUGCAAGUCGAGCGGCAGCGGGAAAGUAGCUUGCUACUUUUGCCGGCGAGCGGCGGACGGGCGAGUAAUGCCUGGGAAAUUGCCCAGUCGAGGGGGAUAACAGUUGGAAACGACUGCUAAUACCGCAUACGCCCUACGGGGGAAAGCCGGGGACCUUCGGGCCUUGCGCGGUUGGAUAUGCCCAGGUGGGAUUAGCUAGUUGGUGAGGUAAUGGCUCACCAAGGCGACGAUCCCUAGCUGGUCUGAGAGGAUGAUCAGCCACACUGGAACUGAGACACGGUCCAGACUCCUACGGGAGGCAGCAGUGGGGAAUAUUGCACAAUGGGGGAAACCCUGAUGCAGCCAUGCCGCGUGUGUGAAGAAGGCCUUCGGGUUGUAAAGCACUUUCAGCGAGGAGGAAAGGUUGAUGCCUAAUACGUAUCAACUGUGACGUUACUCGCAGAAGAAGCACCGGCUAACUCCGUGCCAGCAGCCGCAGUAACAC
rnacentral:rRNA from 1 species